GGAAUAUUGGUCAAUGGGCGCGAGCCUGAACCAGCCAAGUAGCGUGCAGGAUGACGGCCCUAUGGGUUGUAAACUGCUUUUAUGCGGGAAUAAAGUUCGGGACGUGUCCCGUUUUGCAUGUACCGCAUGAAUAAGGACCGGCUAAUUCCGUGCCAGCAGCCGCGGUAAUACGGAAGGUCCGGGCGUUAUCCGGAUUUAUUGGGUUUAAAGGGAGCGCAGGCUGAUGAUUAAGCGUGACGUGAAAUGUAGCCGCUCAACGGCUGAACUGCGUCGCGAACUGGUUAUCUUGAGUGAGUUCGAUGUUGGCGGAAUUCGUGGUGUAGCGGUGAAAUGCUUAGAUAUCACGAAGAACUCCGAUUGCGAAGGCAGCCAACAAGGCCUUUACUGACGCUAAAGCUCGAAGGUGCGGGUAUCGAACA
rnacentral:rRNA from 1 species